GGCACUGUCUCAACAACAGACUCGGUGAAAUUGUAAUUCCGGUGAAGAUGCCGGAUACCUGCGACAGGACGGAAAGACCCCAUGGAGCUUUACUGUAGCUUGACAUGGGGUCUUGGUACUACAUGUACAGGAUAGGUGGGAGGCUUUGAAACCAGGACGCCAGUUUUGGCGGAGCCAUCCUUGGGAUACCACCCUUGUAGUACUGGGACUCUA
rnacentral:rRNA from 1 species